AUUGGUCUAUAUUUGUGUAACAGAGUUAAUAAUACAUAUGAAAAACAUGCACUUACCUGUUCUUAAUUAUCAUUUUAAGUGUGAAUUUUAUCUUUUUUUUUUUAAUUGUAUUUUAUUUUGAAAACCCAGAAACCGGAUCUCACCCUAACGUUUAGAAGCUGCUAAGGCUUCCGCUCCUCACAGCGCGCGCUUGCACUGUGAGGGUAAGUCCGGUAAUGAAAGGCUCUGGCAUUUUUAUGGUUUCUGGUGUGAAUGUUGUUACAUAAGUUAUAUAUGUCGAUGUAUAUAGGUUCAUAUUGAUAUUAGAAAGUUUCUGUGUAACUGAAACAAAGGCGGGUUGCUGUUAAAUAGUGUUUCUGCCGUAUUUAUGCUCUUUGGCAGUUAGUCUUUGUCAGCCCCCUAGUGGUUGCUGCGCAUAGCAGGAAAUGUGUUUGGAUUUACCGUUUUUCUGUGCUUUUUGUGAUGUUGCUUUACAUUGUAGGAGCUACAAUUGCCGGUACCACCAGAAGACACCUGUUGAAUGUGUUUUAUGUCUUCUGCAGAAGUAAACUGUGAAAAGCCAACCCUUCUGAGCGUCUGUGAUUCUUGAAGAGCUGGAAGUGUUACACUGGUGCCGUGACCAUUCGGAUCUUCAGAUCAGCUUGAUGCUCAUCGCCGUGGCUGCUGUUCUGCUCCCCUGCUGUUCACAAGUUGAAUGUGGGUUGUUGUAACCAAGAGCUACAAUUGCCGGUACCACCAGAAGACACCUGUUGAAUGUGUUUUAUGUCUUCUGCAGAAGUAAACUGUGAAAAGCCAACCCUUCUGAGCGUCUGUGAUUCUUGAAGAGCUGGAAGUGUUACACUUGCAAUUUGU
ensembl:lncRNA